CCAAUAGCGUAUAUUAAAGUUGUUGUGGUUAAAAAGCUCGUAGUUGAACCUUGGGCCUGGCUGGCCGGUCCGCCUCACCGCGUGUACUGGUCCGGCCGGGCCUUUCCCUCUGUGGAACCUCAUGCCCUUCACUGGGUGUGACGGGGAAGCAGGACUUUUACUGUGAAAAAAUUAGAGUGCUCCAAGCAGGCCUAUGCUCGAAUACAUUAGCAUGGAAUAAUAAAAUAGGACGUGCGGUUCUAUUUUGUUGGUUUCUAGGACCGCCGUAAUGAUUAAUAGGGACAUUCGGGGGCAUCAGUAUUCAAUUGUCAGAGGUGAAAUUCUUGAAUUUAUUGAAGACUAACUACUGCGAAAGCAUUUGCCAGGAUGUUUUCAUUAAUCAGGAACGAAAGUUAGGGGAUCGAAGACGAUCAGAUACCGUCGUAGUCUUAACCAUAAACUAUGCCGACUAGGGAUCGGACGAUGUUAUUUUUUGACUCGUUCGGCACCUUACG
rnacentral:rRNA from 1 species